rnacentral:rRNA from 1 species
AGUGAACGCUGGCGGUAGGCCUAACACAUGCAAGUCGAACGGCAGCACAGUAAGAGCUUGCUCUUACGGGUGGCGAGUGGCGGACGGGUGAGGAAUACAUCGGAAUCUACUUUUUCGUGGGGGAUAACGUAGGGAAACUUACGCUAAUACCGCAUACGACCUACGGGUGAAAGCAGGGGAUCUUCGGACCUUGCGCGAUUGAAUGAGCCGAUGUCGGAUUAGCUAGUUGGCGGGGUAAAGGCCCACCAAGGCGACGAUCCGUAGCUGGUCUGAGAGGAUGAUCAGCCACACUGGAACUGAGAAACGGGCCAAGCUCCUACGGGAGGCAGCAGUGGGGAAUAUUGGACAAUGGGCGCAAGCCUGAUCCAGCCAUACCGCGUGGGUGAAGAAGGCCUUCGGGUUGUAAAGCCCUUUUGUUGGGAAAGAAAAGCAGCAGGUUAAUACCCCGCUGUUCUGACGGUACCCAAAGAAUAAGCACCGGCUAACUUCGU